rnacentral:lncRNA from 1 species
AUGAUUCUUUCAGCCCUUCAUGGGGUUGUUUCAAUGCAGAAAAACUCUGCAGUGAUAAGAUUUAUCAAAGGAAUUGUGAAUCGCUUUGAUACAAAAGAGAUAUUUAUUUCACUGCAGGCUUGCUUUUCCCCGAGGAGAUAUAAGUGUUUUUUCUUUUGCUGAAAUAUGGCUUUAAACAACUCCAGCACUACGGCACAGGACGGAGGGUGACGAUGUGCAUCCCUCACAUGGCUGCAGGCUCUCACUGCCGGAGCUCCGGGGGGCACCGCGGCCGGGCUGGGAGCAUUGAUGCUGCACAGGAGCAUCCCUGCAUCCCCAGACACAGACAUCGAUAGUGGAGAUGGGGAUUUUUCUUUAUUUAUUUUUUCUUUAUUUUUUAAAUUAUUUUUCUUUUUAAUGUAAGAAACGGCUUUGUUCUUUCCGAGUCCAGAGCUUGAGAAGUAUCCAAGGCUUCCCCAGGCGCGAAGAGGAGUGCUGCGGUUUGUCCUCACCCUUUCUUCCCUGGCGUCUAUCUGCUGCUCCAGGAGCCCAGUCCCUGGUGCAUCGCCUGUGCCCGGCACCUGGGGCUGACAAGCACGACAGCGUGGGAAAGGCAAACUGCAUUCAGGAGACAGCAUCAAGCUGUUAAAAGAAAGGUUGGAUGUCUCAGCUUCCCAGCAUCACCCAACACGUUGUGCUCCUUGUCUGGUGCCCUGACAUCACUCAUAAAGAGCAUAGAAGCCUCUCACCUGGCACCCAGGGAACUCAGACUGAGCAACAGCGGAGUUGUGAAGGCUCAGGGAUCGUUCCUUGUGCCUCACUUGUGGCACACACCGAAGGAGGACACAGAUCAGGAGGAAGACGUCUCCUUGGCAAGAUCGCUCCUGCUCGGCACCCAUGGGUGGGAAGCUCUGGGGGUGCUGCUUCGUUAUCUGCUUGCUUGUCUUACCGGCUGCCAGAGCUCUGGUUCUCCACAGUUGUGGUUUCGUGCAUGGUUAUCAUUCUCCAAUUUACCUUUUAAAUAAUGAGGUUAUUAGUACUGUUUCAUGAUUUCACAGUUUUGUGAAACUCGUAGCACAAUGUGGAAAUCCCUGCCUCUCCAACAGCCUGACUCCUGGCAGUGACUGGCAUUCACACUCCAAUUUUAUUGUGGGAAAAAAAAGUUUGCACGACCCAAAUGUUAGCACCCUUUGGAGAUCAGUGAGAAGCCUGAUGACAAGACAGCAAGAGUUUAACUUGUGAGGUGUGCAGAGCUCCCCUCCACGCCGGCGGGCAGCCCAGGAGGGCAGCAGCACUUGCACUCCAGCUGAACUCCCAGGGGAAGAAGAGAUCCGAUCCUCUCCAUCAUCACGCCAAACACAGAUGUACACCCUGUGAGAUGGCUUAUGAAAGUAGAUGGGGAGGCUAAAAAUUCCCCCCACGUCUUGAUUAAUAGCUGAACACAGUUCUUAAGAAUUGCCUACCUUGCAGAAUGGAUGAGAUUUGCCAUUUGGGAGCUGUCCAACCAAUUAUGCCCUGCUCAGACGAUCACUCAGCAUGAAUGCUGGAGCUACUCCAUCUGAGAAAGCUGCUGGUCUCCAUCACUUUUCUGACAGGUGGCUUAGUGACCACACCGCUCGUGUAGUUUUUGGUUCAGAAUAGCUCCAUCUUUCUACAGCUGAUCUUUUCAAAGACUUUCCAAAGCUUGUCCAUCAAGACUUGUCUCCCUCUUGGGACUUUAAAUACAUCUUCAGCUUUCAUAUUGACCUCAAGAUUGUGCAGAAAGAGCAUCCUGGGUGGCAAUAACGUGAGUCGUGGGAGCUAGCUGAGCAAGCCCUAACGGUGUUGCUGUGGUAGGCAGCCUUUGCAAAGAUAACACUUUUCUGAGCUUGUGCAUAUAAAUUUAUGUAUAUCUUGUUGAUACAGUAUGUAUAUAUUUUGGAUAGACCUAUGAAGUGUGUGAUGCCACCUCUAUUUUUCCAGGUCUCCAUCCAUUGCAAUGAAACAACGCUUUGAUUCCUCAGCUCCUCCAGCAGCCCCGUCCCCCUCCUUUGAGGUGCAGCACUUUCAGGCUUCCUUGGGACUGUUCAUUUAUUUGCAGAAAGAUCAAAAGGUCAAGCAAUUUCAGCUCAGUGAAGCUUCAAGUGAAGCUUGAAUCAUGCAUAAAAUUUUGCUAUUUUCAAGCUAACAAACUUCUCCUAUGAGGAUAUUUUGCUCACUUGAGCAGAAAACAGGCUGUGUUAGCAGCUUUUCUGAGCAGUGCUCUGAUAGCAGAUCAACGUAUGGGCCUCCGGACCUCCCCUGGACGUAACGCCAGCUUCAUGGUCUUGUGCUGCCCUGAAAGGCCGCCCACAGACGUGCUUCUCAUUUAUUCAGCAAUUGCUUGGAUCACAGGCAGGGAAAUGAGCACGCACACAACGGCUGAGAGAGGUGUGCAAUAAUGGGUUUUCUUUAAGCAGCACUAUGCACAUAAACAUGAUUUUGAAUAUCUGCUGAAGGUCCCCAAACCUUCAGAAGGCAGCAAGGCAGACGGGGUCCCUCACGGCUCCACAAGGACACACGGGGUCUGACUCCCUCCUCCCCAUCCCGGUGGCUGUGCACACCUUGAUGGGACCUCUGCAGGCUGAACGCACCCCGAAUGUUCCCAUUUGCUGCCCUUAUGGAAAGGUAAUUCCCAAGGAAAAAAGAUUUUAAAAAGCUUUCUUGCCCAUACGGACUUUUAAUAUGUGAAUAUAAAUUUUGAAUUCUAAACAGCUCAGCCAGGGAAGAAUUAGUUGCACCCAUAAUAAUCAGACUGCGUGAGUUUAUAACUUUCCUUGGGCAGGAGAGCAGUGUUAUGGAAUUAGUCUUUAAACAACAAAUUUUGGAUGGGUUUUUGUACUCUAUGCCUGUGAGCUGGGGAGCUUUGUUAGAUGAGCAGAGGGACAGCCCGGCUUGGCAUGGGCUCUGAUGGAGACUUGUCCAACUCGAGGCCAGACUCUGCUCAUAGCAAAGGCAUCCAACAGUUUGAAAAAGCAGUAAUUUUUCUGUGAUUCUGCAGCUUUGUAGCAUGGAGACUGACAGCAGAGAGUGACGACGAAUUACGGGGGGGACUGCUGUACCUGAGACAGCUGUCCAAGCAGCACCAACCCACCUGCCUUUUGCAGAACACCCAGCUGACAGCGGUUUGAAAACCAAACCUCUAAUAAAGUGUUAAGCCAUUUUCCCCGUGCCCUCUGG